rnacentral:lncRNA from 1 species
UUACUUUGAAACUACAAGCAGUCAGCAGGAAUUUCUGAACAGUUUGUUAAUCUGAAAAGUUAGUUAAUGUGGUGUUCAUAGUAACGAUGUUUCACUGUAAGCACAACUGUCAAAACAAGUGUGGC